CCUACGGGAGGCAGCAGUAGGGAAUAUUGCUCAAUGGGGGAAACCCUGAAGCAGCAACGCCGCGUGGAGGAUGAAGGUUUUCGGAUUGUAAACUCCUUUUGUUAGAGAAGAUAAUGACGGUAUCUAACGAAUAAGCACCGGCUAACUCCGUGCCAGCAGCCGCGGUAAUACGGAGGGUGCAAGCGUUACUCGGAAUCACUGGGCGUAAAGGGCGCGUAGGCGGGAUAGCAAGUCAGAUGUGAAAUCCUAUGGCUUAACCAUAGAACUGCAUUUGAAACUGUUAUUCUAGAGUAUGGGAGAGGUAGGUGGAAUUCUUGGUGUAGCGGUAAAAUCCGUAGAGAUCAAGAGGAAUACUCAUUGCGAAGGCGACCUGCUAGAACAUAACUGACGCUGAUGCGCGAAAGCGUGGGGAGCAAACAGGAUUAGAUACCCCAGUAGUC
rnacentral:rRNA from 1 species